rnacentral:rRNA from 1 species
UAACAAGGUUUCCGUAGGUGAACCUGCGGAAGGAUCAUUAAUGAAUUUAGAUUGAACCAUAGGCGAAAGCCAGUGGUUCUUCUUUCAUAUCCAUAACACCUGUGCACUGUUGGAUGCUUGCAUCCACUUUUAAACUAAACAUUAUUGUAACAAAUGUAGUCUUAUUAUAACAUAAUAAAACUUUCAACAACGGAUCUCUUGGCUCUCGCAUCGAUGAAGAACGCAGCGAAAUGCGAUAAGUAAUGUGAAUUGCAGAAUUCAGUGAAUCAUCGAAUCUUUGAACGCACCUUGCGCUCCUUGGUAUUCCGAGGAGCAUGCCUGUUUGAGUGUCAUGAAACCCUCAAACCCAAGUUUUGGAUUUCGAUCCAUGCUUGAGUUUGGAUUUGGAUGUUUGCCGGUGAUGAACCGACUCAUCUUAAAAGUAUUAGCUUGGAUCUGUCUAUAUGACUGGUUUGACUUGGCAUAAUAAGUAUUUUGCUGAGGACAUCUUCGGAUGGCCAGGACCUAGACUACUGUCUGCUAACUAAACCAUCACUUUAAGUGCAUCUUUGGAUGUUACUCAUUGUGUAACUUUGACAUCUGGCCUCAAAUCAAGUAGGACUACCCGCUGAACUUAAGCAUAUC